GAUGAACGCUGGCGGCGUGCCUAAUACAUGCAAGUCGAGCGAACAGACGAGAGUGCUUGCACUCUCUGACGUUAGCGGCGGACGGGUGAGUAACACGUGGGUAACCUACCUAUAAGACUGGGAUAACUUCGGGAAACCGGAGCUAAUACCGGAUAAUAUUUAGCUUCGCAUGAAGCAAUAGUGAAAGAUGGUUCUGCUGUCACUUAUAGAUGGACCCGCGGUGUAUUAGCUAGUUGGUGAGGUAACGGCUCACCAAGGCAACGAUACGUAGCCGACCUGAGAGGGUGAUCGGCCACACUGGGACUGAGACACGGCCCAGACUCCUACGGGAGGCAGCAGUAGGGAAUCUUCCGCAAUGGACGAAAGUCUGACGGAGCAAUGCCGCGUGAGUGAAGAAGGUUUUCGGAUCGUAAAACUCUGUUGUAAGGGAAGAACAAGUACGUUAGUAACUGAACGUACCUUGACGGUACCUUACCAGAAAGCCACGGCUAACUACGUG
rnacentral:rRNA from 1 species